rnacentral:rRNA from 1 species
UGGGGAAUAUUGGGCAAUGGGCGAAAGCCUGACCCAGCAACGCCGCGUGGAGGAAGAAGGUUUUCGGAUCGUAAACUCCUGUCCUAAGAGACGAGGAAGAGACGGUAUCUUAGGAGGAAGCCCCGGCUAACUACGUGCCAGCAGCCGCGGUAAUACGUAGGGGGCAAGCGUUGUCCGGAAUGAUUGGGCGUAAAGGGCGCGUAGGCGGCUCGGUAAGUCUGGAGUGAAAGUCCUGGCUUUAAGUUGGGAAUUGCUUUGGAUACUGUCGGGCUUGAGUGCAGGAGAGGUUAGUGGAAUUCCCAGUGUAGCGGUGAAAUGCGUAGAGAUUGGGAGGAACACCAGUGGCGAAGGCGACUAACUGGACUGUAAACUGACGCUGAGGCGCGAAAAGUGUGGGGAGCAAACAGGAUUAGAUACC